rnacentral:lncRNA from 1 species
CCACUUGCUAAUAAACGCUUAGAAACAACAAUAACUUUCAUCAUUUAAAUAGUUUAAAAACGUAUUUGGAAUAUAGGGUUAACUUAAUGUUUAAGUUCCCUGUUUAAGAAAUAGAAAACAUACGAAUCUUCUCCUUUUAUGGGAACGACCUGAGAUUGCAAUCACGGCUUCAAUUUUUGAAUUUCAGAAUAAUUAGAUGCACUAUCUAGUGUAUAUAAGAUAUCUAUG